CCCGCGCCCCCCGGCGGGCGGAGCCCGGCGCCGCGGCCAGGAUUUCCCACCUCGCUCCCGCGACUCCGCUGCGGGUCUGCACACCCGAGGACUCGGGGUACUUAACCGAAACUAGCAAUCCCAGGCGGUACAAGGCCCUCCAUCGUAGGCAAAGCACUACCUGAAUGUAGAUUUGGGCCAUACGUUGGAAAAUAAGACAUGAGAGUAUGCUCCGAUCAACUUUUACUGUUCACUGGACAACUAUUUUGGGAAUUUGCAGACCUAUAAAGCCCAUCUAUAAAUCUCAAGCAUGUCCACUUUCAGAGAAGAGAAAUGCUGACAACCAUUUAGUCUCUGAGGACAACACUUUUAAAGUUAUACAGGACUCCAUCAUAGGACUGGAGAGAGAUUGGAUGUCAGAGUGAUUGAUGUGCUCCUACUGGAAGAAGGCAAACAUCCAUAUGUGAACUGCCUGUGGGGUUUCCAAGGAAAGGAACGGCAGGCAGCCUCUAUGAGCUUAAAGAAGAUAACUGGGACUUUAGUCCUAUAACCUCAAGGAACAGUAUUCUGUGAACCAUCUGAGAAGCUUGGAAGAGGACCCCAAACUCCAAAUAAGAAGCUCAGUGUGUCUGACACCUUGACUGCAGGCUUGGGAGGUCCUGAGCAGAAGAUCCAGUUCAACAGUGCCUGGACUCCUGAUCCACAAAAACUGAUAACAAAUAUUUAUUGUUUUAAGAUGCUAAGUUUGUAGUCAUUUUUUAUACAGCAACAGAAAACUAAACACACACAUAAACAGUUAUAAGUGCUCACUGUAUAUGAGGCUUUUCAUUAAUAAUCUAUAUUUUAUAAUAGAAUUAGAAUAUAGAUCUGUGAAGCUGAAGACACUCAAUCCUUGCUAGAUUUAAAUCAGGAAAAUCAGCUGAGAAUCAUUCCUUGAUAGAACCUGGAAAACAAGACCCUAUGAGAGACCCUGGGAAUUACAUUAAAUUCACUGUGGUUCCCAGUGUCACUGAAGAGGUUUUCCUUUCAUAGUCAGGUAGUCACCAUACUGUUAAGCAUUUGAACACAUGGGCAACUUCCAGAAUAGUUAUGACAUUGAUAUACCAAUCUCCAAAAUUCCUAGAAUACCAUGUUUUCAUGGUUGACCUUCAAAUCAGUCAGUUCUUUGUAACAUUGAGCCAUAAAGAUAGGGCAAAUACUUAAUGUUUUACAUAUAUUCAGAGAUUGACCCUCAAAAUACAGCCCAGAGAAACUCAAAAGAAUUAACUCUAUUUCUUCAAAUUGUGUGACGCCACCAAGGCCAGAUGACUUCAGCAUUGGGAAGGCAAUAUCCAGCUGUCAUCUUCUUGAUCCUCAUAUGCUACUACUAGCAUCUAGCAUUUACUGAGCAGAUAGUUUUAUUGUCCAGUUUUUAAAGAUAAGAAAAUUGAGGUAUUAGGAAAGUUAAGUUGGUUGCCUAGGGAAACACGAAGAUAUAGCCCAGAUUCACUCCCAGGCAGGCAGAUGCCAGUGUCUGCUCUCUUUACCACCGAAAUAUCCUGCUACAUGUACAAUUUCAAUAAAUAUCUGGACUUACUGGAACAAAACAAAUCAACAACAUUCUUAUUUUCUUUCUUCAGUUUAGAUUAAAUAAUUUAAAUGUCUUCUUAAGAAGCUACAGUUUUUUGAGGCACAGAGGGAUAGGAGGGUAGGUCCUACCAGUUGAGUCACUCAGCCCUAUAGUUGUGAAAAUCCUUAAUUUUAAGAAGCAGCAGUAAAGUCUCUACUUCUCAAGCUUGCCAUUAGAUGGUUUUAAAUAAUUGACAGGCUCUGCUCAAGUUCUUCUGAUUUCUCCAUAUCCUGGAAAUGGUUAAAGGCAUAAGCAGGAAGCCAUUCCCUUUUGAUGAGCUGCUAUGACAUCAUGCAGUAAGUUUACUGAAGAGAGAUUCCUGAUGAAAGAUGCAAGAGAAACUAGAUACAUUAAGCAGUCGUUUCUUUAUAUGAAUCAAUGGGACACCUUUGCUUUCCUUUACUCUAAGUGACCUAUAUGCAGAAAAUGAACUCACUUUUCCUAUGUUUAGAUCAAGUUUUCAAGUUACUUCCUGGCAAACAACCCUAACAAGAUCAUGUAUGAUAGUUAAUUGGCCAUAAUCUCUGCCUUUUCUUUUUUUCUGGCUAAAUAACCAGGUGGACCACACAUUUGGGUCAGGGGAGUCACAUUAGGACUCUUUUAGUAGAGAGAAUGCCAGAUGUAGAUAUCACGCUUAUUGUCUCAACAACAUGACACUUAAUAGCACUUCUACGCCACUUUAAUCAACUAGAGUCAAUUCCACUGUAACACAACAACAUAUGUGAUCCUAAACAGUCACUGCACUAUACUAAACUGUGCAAUAACAACCACAGGGCUCACAAGAAAAUGGGGUUAGUGAUAUAACACUUAAAAUCUUCAUCAGUGGCACAUUCUUUAAAAGAUAGGAAUUUAAUAAAAACAAUAGCACAGUUACAUCUAUCUAUCUUAAAUGGUUAAAAAUACACAAAUAUGGCACUUGAUAUUAAAAAAAGGCCAAAAACUUGCUAGGGAGGUGGAAUGGGAAUGGUUGCCAUUUGUGAGUUAUGGUGAAGCGGUGGAAGAAGGAAUAAAAACUGUGCUCUUUCUCAGCCCUUAAAUCCUAGAAUGAGCAUGUUUUUAUAUAGGAAAGUUCACAAGUGUGAAAGGAUAGCAAACUGUAAAUUUUCAAAAUAAUACAUGGCAAACCAAGAUAGCUGGUAGAUGUUUGAGAGGUAUGUGUUUGCAUUUUGCAUUUUGCAUUUUGUGUAUCCCUACAUGGCUUAGGUCAGCUAGUUGCAAUUUAAUGAAUUCACCCAUUGUUUUUUCUGGGUAAAACAUGCGUAAGCAAACAUGAAAGUUGUAUUAUGCCCAAAUCGUUCCCUAAUACGUCAAUUUUUUGGAAUAAUGCUUACUUUCAAAACAUGCAUUAUAACAUAAUUAACUGUAUCAUUAGCUCUCAAAUGGCCUUAAAAAUAUUGUGAAUUAAUAUAUGCAAUAAUUCAGGGCCAGGUACAGUGGCUCAUGCCUAUAAUCCCAGCACUUUGGGAGGCCGAGGUGGGAGGAUUGCUUGAUCACAGGAGUUUAAGACCAGCCUGAGCAACAAAGUGAG
rnacentral:lncRNA from 1 species